AAACGUUUUCUGCAUCUUGAGUUAAUCAAAAUCCUCUGGAAUGGGGUAUCAUGGAGGGUGACAAUCCCGUUCAUGGUUAAUUCUCAGGUGCUUUAUGAUACGUUUUCGAAGAGUCGAGUUGUUUGGGAUUGCAGCUCAAAAUGGGAGGUAAAUUUCUCCUAAAGCUAAAUAUUGGCGAGAGACCGAUAGCGAACAAGUACCGUGAGGGAAAGAUGAAAAGAACUUUGAAAAGAGAGUUAAACAGUACGUGAAAUUGUUGAAAGGGAAACGAUUGAAGUCAGUCGUACCAACGGGAAAUCAACCUUUCGAGCGGGGUUUUGGGGUUUCAAAGAGUUUCAAAGCCUUUGGGAUUUCAAAUUUCUUCUCUUCUGGUGUACUUUCUCGUAGGUAGGUCAACAUCGAUUUUGAGCAUCAUAAAAAGACUGGAGGAAUGUAGCUUCGAUCUCGUAUUGAAGUGUUAUAGACUUUGGUAAAUGUGAUGAUCAAGAUCGAGGAUUGCAACGAAUAUCCUUUUGGGCUAUUCGUCUGAUCUCUGAUCGUUGCCUUGGUAUCGAAAGCUUGC
rnacentral:rRNA from 1 species